rnacentral:rRNA from 1 species
CCUACGGGUGGCAGCAGUGAGGAAUAUUGGUCAAUGGACGCGAGUCUGAACCAGCCAAGUAGCGUGAAGGAUGACUGCCCUACGGGUUGUAAACUUCUUUUAUAUGGGAAUAAAGUGUUCCACGUGUGGGAUUUUGUAUGUACCAUAUGAAUAAGGAUCGGCUAACUACGUGCCAGCAGCCGCGGUAAUACGGAGGAUGCGAGCGUUAUCCGGAUUUAUUGGGUUUAAAGGGAGCGCAGGGGGAAGAUCAAGUCGGCGGUAAAAUUGAGCGGCUCAACCUCGUCGUGCCGUUGAAACCGGUAGUCUUGAGUGAAUGAGAAGUAUGCGGAAUGCGUGGUGUAGCGGUGAAAUGCGUAGAUAUCACGAAGAACUCCGAUUGCGAAGGCAGCAUA